CAAUAGAAGGGGAUUACGCCACACCGCUAGCAGCUGCUCUUGGUCAACAAAUUCGAGUUCAUGCCCCAGUUCGAAAUGAUGGAUGGCUAGAAAUUGCCUUUGGGUUAAGAGAGUCCAUUGUUACAAGAGUUGGGCAAACUUUUGACUUUGGGGACUACAAUAAUGAUGUGGAUGUGAGAUGUAUUAUUGAUCAUAAGUGCCAAACUUUGUACAGUGAAUGGAAAAGUAGAUUACACACACACUACAAAUCCCUUAAA